AAUAUAGUGCCAAUUUCGUAGCUGAUGAAGUUUAAGUGAGGUGCGAUUGUUGCUAAAAGAAAACUUUUCCCAAUAUCCCGCUGUGAUGGUUUGAAAUAUAGCCAGCAAUGGCAAUUUUUGAUAGUCUCUAUGGAAA